AAGUCGUAACAAGGUUUCCGUAGGUGAACCUGCGGAAGGAUCAUUAAAGAUUCGGCCCUCGGGCCAAACCUCUCCAGCUGUGCGCUUCGGCUGCACGCUGGUUGAACCUCGCACACCUGUGAACAUUCCGGUUGUGGGCUGUCUUCUGGCAUCUCACUUCCGCCUUGACAUAAAACUACCAAGUCUAGAAUGUAAAAACUAUAAAGUAACAACUUUCAACAACGGAUCUCUUGGCUCUC
rnacentral:misc_RNA from 1 species